CCUACGGGAGGCUGCAGUGAGGAAUAUUGGUCAAUGGACGAGAGUCUGAACCAGCCAAGUAGCGUGAAGGAUGACUGCCCUAUGGGUUGUAAACUUCUUUUAUAUGGGAAUAAAACGUUCCACGUGUGGGAUUUUGUAUGUACCAUAUGAAUAAGGAUCGGCUAACUCCGCGCCAGCAGCCGCGGUAAUACGGAGGAUCCGAGCGUUAUCCGGAUUUAUUGGGUUUAAAGGGAGCGUAGGUGGAUUGUUAAGUCAGUUGUGAAAGUUUGCGGCUCAACCGUAAAAUUGCAGUUGAAACUGGCAGUCUUGAGUACAGUAGAGGUGGGCGGAAUUCGUGGUGUAGCGGUGAAAUGCUUAGAUAUCACGAAGAACUCCGAUUGCGAAGGCAGUUCACUGGACUGCAACUGACACUGAGGCUCGAAAGUGUGGGUAUCAAACAGGAUUAGAUACCCUUGUAGUC
rnacentral:rRNA from 1 species